rnacentral:rRNA from 1 species
CGAUGAAGUGGAGCUUGCUCCACGGAUUAGUGGCGAACGGGUGAGUAACACGUGAAUAACCUGCCCUCAAUUUCGGAAUAACCCAGGGAAACCUGGGCUAAUACCGGAUACGUAAACCUGUGGCAUCACAUGGUUUUGGAAAGUUUUUCGAUUGAGGAUGGAUUCGCGGCCUAUCAGCUUGUUGGUGAGGUAAUGGCUCACCAAGGCGACGACGGGUAGCCGGCCUGAGAGGGUGGACGGCCACACUGGGACUGAGACACGGCCCAGACUCCUACGGGAGGCAGCAGUGGGGAAUAUUGCGCAAUGGACGAAAGUCUGACGCAGCGACGCCUCGUGAGGGACGAAGGUCUUCGGAUUGUAAACCUCUUUCAGCAGGGACGAAGCGAAAGUGACGGUACCUGCAGAAGAAGCACCGGCUAACUAUGUGCCAGCAGCCGCGGUAAUACAUAGGGUGCAAGCGUUGUCCGGAUUUAUUGGGCGUAAAGAGUUCGUAGGCGGUUUUUCGCGUCGGAUGUGAAAACUCAGGGCUCAACCCUGAGCCUGCAUUCGAUACGGGAAGACUCGAGGACGGCAGGGGAGACUGGAACUUCUGGUGUAGCGGUGG